AAUAGAGUACCCGGGUAGUCCAUGCCGUAAAACGUUGGGGCACUAGGUGUGGGGGACAUUCCACGUUUUUCCGCGCCGUAGCUAACGCAUUAAGUGCCCCCGCCUUGGGGGAGUACGGCCGCAAGGCUAAAAACUCAAAGGAAUUGACGGGGGGCCCGCACAAGCGGUCGGAGGCAUGCGGAUUAAUUCGAUGCAACGUCGAAGAACCUUACCAAGGCUUGACAUGAACCGAGACCGGGCUGGAAACAGUCCUUCCCCCGUUGUGGGUUGGUUUACAGGUGGUGCAUGGUUGUCGUCAGCUCGUGUCGUGAGAUGUUGGUUAAGUCCCGCAACGAGCGCAACCCUCGUCGUUAGUUUGCUAACAGUUCGGCUGAGCCACUCUAACGAGACUGCCGGUGUUAAACCGGAGGAAGGUGGGGAUGGACUCAAGUCCUCAUGGCCCUUAUCGCCCGAGGGCUACACACGUGCUACAAUGGGCGGUACAAACCGUUGCGUAACUCGCGAGGACGGAGCCAAACGUCGGAAAAAACCCGUCCUCUAGUUCGAGACUUGCGUGUUCGUGCAACUCGACUGCA
rnacentral:rRNA from 1 species